GAUUCACCCAGCCGACGUUCUGUGGAGUGUGGAGAAGAGAGCGGAGCGUCAUAUGUCAGCACACCUGCGUAUACACCGUUUGAUGCAUUGAGGCAAAUUUCAACAGCUAGGCACAGGUUCGCCAUGAACGGAUUGCACGGCAUCGGUUUCCAGUCCGGUCCCAUCGAUAGCGAUUCAUCUGAAUCGUACAGUGCGGACUGAAAGUUUAUGGUGUGUGUUAACUGUUUUGUUUUACUAUUUUACUGCUGUUUGCAAACCUUUCUUGCACAUUUUAACUGGUUUUGAGGAAACAUGAAAUGGACGAAAUAAUAAUAAACACUUACAUUCAGUUACA